AUUGAACGCUGGCGGCAUGCCUUACACAUGCAAGUCGAACGGCAGCGGGGGAGAAGCUUGCUUUUCCUGCCGGCGAGUGGCGAACGGGUGAGUAAUACAUCGGAACGUGCCCUGUAGUGGGGGAUAACUAGUCGAAAGAUUAGCUAAUACCGCAUACGACCUGAGGGUGAAAGUGGGGGACCGCAAGGCCUCAUGCUAUAGGAGCGGCCGAUGUCUGAUUAGCUAGUUGGUGGGGUAAAGGCCUACCAAGGCGACGAUCAGUAGCUGGUCUGAGAGGACGAUCAGCCACACUGGGACUGAGACACGGCCCAGACUCCUACGGGAGGCAGCAGUGGGGAAUUUUGGACAAUGGGCGAAAGCCUGAUCCAGCAAUGCCGCGUGUGUGAAGAAGGCCUUCGGGUUGUGAAGCACUUUUGUCCGGAAAGAAAUGGCUCCGGUUAAUACCUGGGGUCGAUGACGGUACCGGAAGAAUAAGGACCGGCUAACUACGUGCCAGCAGCCGCCGUAA
rnacentral:rRNA from 1 species